GAUGAACGCUGACAGAAUGCUUAACACAUGCAAGUCGAUGGGGAAGUGGUGCUUGCACCAUGGUAACCAUGGCGGACGGGUGAGUAACACGUAAGGAACUUACCUGCGGGACCGGGAUAACAGCAGGAAACUGCUGACAAGACCGGAUAAGGUCAUUAAGCUGCAUAGCUUAGUGAUGAAAGGAGACGCCUGCGGAGAGCCUUGCGUCCUAUUAGCUAGUUGGAGGGGUAACGGCCCACCAAGGCGAAGAUAGGUAGCCGGCCUGAGAGGGUGGACGGCCACAAGGGGACUGAGAUACGGCCCUUACUCCUACGGGAGGCAGCAGGGGGGAAUAGUGGACAAGGGGGGCAACCCUGAUCCAGCAAUUCUGUGUGCACGAAGACGGUUUUCGGAGUGUAAAGUGCUUUCAGCAGGGAAGAAGGAAGUGACGGUACCUGCAGAAGAAGCGACGGCUAAAUACGUG
rnacentral:rRNA from 1 species